UACGUAGGGGGCAAGCGUUAUCCGGAUUUACUGGGUGUAAAGGGAGCGUAGGCGGUUAGAUAAGUCUGAUGUGAAAGCCCACAGCUUAACUGUGGGAUUGCAUUGGAAACUAUAGAACUAGAGUGUCGGAGAGGUAAGUGGAAUUCCUAGUGUAGCGGUGAAAUGCGUAGAUAUUAGGAGGAACACCAGUGGCGAAGGCGGCUUACUGGACGAUGACUGACGCUGAGGCUCGAAAGCGUGGGGAGCAA
rnacentral:rRNA from 1 species